rnacentral:rRNA from 1 species
GUCUAUGGCCAUGCCACCCUGAAUGCGCCCAAUCUCGUCUGAUUGCAGAAGCUAAGCAGAGUCGGUUCUGAUAGUACUUUGAUGGGAGACUACCUAGGAAUACCAGGUGCUGUAGGCG